AUUUCACUGAUUAGUAUUCAGUCCAGCUCUCCAGUUUCUCAGGAUUGCUAAGGUUGAGGUAUUUGUUGAAGAGCCACCGAGAAGUGUUUAAAGCGUCUCCUCUACUUACAACUGGAAAUAUAUUUCUACGGGUUUGCCAAUCAUUGCUCUGGGACCAUAAUAAUCAUGCAGAAGCCCGCUCCAGUACUUGUUUCCUGUGAAAAAUAGUAAAAACAGCAUGCAAUCGAUUAGUACGUCUAUAUAUUACACUGCUUUUCUUUUCUUUUCUUUUUCUCUGUUAAUUGUUGUUCGAUACCAUAGUCACGAAGCAGACUGGCUUCCUCAUCUGUGUUGUCAAACCACAUGGUGAUUUGAGUUCUAGCAUUCCACUCAAACUGAAAAUGUUUAGAACUGUAAAUCAAUACAAGUAUAUAUAGGAUAAGAUGGAUUUUCAAUUAUAUGCCAAUAGAAUUAAAUCAAACCUGUCUCUUCUGUUCUUCAUUUUGAGCUAGUUGUAUUGCACUAUCUAACCAGGGACCUAGAAGAAACCCAUCAUGGCAAGCCAACAACGCGUCCAAAUCUUCCACUAGGUCCAAAAAUCUUUGGCUGAGUAGAGUCACUCCAUGGAUAUCUUGUGAUUGGUAUGCCUCAAUGACCUUAUAGAACAGCCGAUUUGCAUAUUUUGCUAAAACUUGUCUGGUGAGAUCAACUAGGUCAUACCUGUGUAAAGAAUAAGUAGCAUGGAUCUAUAUUAAACCUUGGCAUACAAUAAGACAACACCAAGCUACUUAAAGAGGAGUGAGAAUUCUUAUUUAACCGACUUCUCUCACCUAUAAGUUCUAAUUUUUGAAAGUUCAUCUCCACUAGAUAUAAAUAGCUCCAAUGCAUAAAUUACUUCAGAUGUUGAAUACCAUAAGUGAGGUCGAUCAAAUGAAUCAGUUAUUUCCUUGAUAAUUGCUCUUGAGUUUGGCUUGGCAUAGGGACGAGAGUGUUCAUUAUGUACUGAAAGUAAGGAAGGGUCCACAUCCGGGAAUGCUACAAUAACAUCUCUGUUUUUGUCCUGUUCCAAUAAACCAAAAAUGUAAAAAUGAAACAUGAUCUUCCAAUUUAUGCAUGUGCAGUAGAAAUGGAACAUACGAUGUGCAGCUGAGGUUGUCACUUGUUUACAUAAGUCAUUUGUCAGAUUAAAGGAGAACAAAAGAUCGAGAUAAGCUGAUGUCGUGUGAUUAGUCCUUUUACAUUGUUGAGUAAGGAGAAACAAAAUAUACAUAAUCGCAUUAAAUAAAGGGCCUUAUAUUGUAGGAGUGGAAGAAAUUUCUAGCACCGGGUUAUAAGUAACAUCCAACUACUUACAUAGGCUCCAUCUGUGCAAUUGUAAAUAGUAUGAUACAAAACAUUCCAUCCCUCUUGUACCAAAGGAACUUGUCUACCAUAUCGUCUAGUUGAAUACAAAUCAACCCAUGCCUGAAAUAACAACCACCAUUAUGCAUUUCAGUCUGAAAACAACACCAAAUUAGUGAAAAUAGAAAUUAAAUAAAACAAAGUAUGGACUAAGGGAAGCAUGUUGGAAUUAUAUCUGAUGUCUAAAGUUACAGAUUAGAGGUAAAUAACUAAAUUCAUGUGGUAGAAAGUAUCCCCUAAACCAUAUGUGGCAAAAUACUGGACAUCCACAUUGUGAGGGGUUCCAUAGGUCACGAGUCACGACAGCUCCCUGGAGAUCCCACUCGCACGGGAACAUGGUAAAACCUUGAGUGAAAUAGUGCAACCAAUUGAUAUUAAGAUUCUAUCAUUGUUACCUUAACAUCAAUUUUGUUGUGCUGAAAUGCCAUUUCAGACAUCAGAUCAUAAACAAUGGGAUUUUGUUCGAUACCUUCCAUCGACAUUCCAACUCCAACCUACAUAAAAUCAAGCAGGUAUAAGAGUGUGUCAGAAAAAGAAUUCAUCACAAAAAUAGUUAUAGAAAAGCUUUUACCAAAAUUACUUGUGUAAAUAAUAAUAUUAUGCUUUUAGCAUUUAUAGUAGCUUUAAUGAGUUUUGUUUAGGUUUUAAUACACCUGACAGUCAUGAUAUUAAUAGAUAAUAUAGCAUAUGGAUUUCAUAUCUAUUUUUGUGA